rnacentral:rRNA from 1 species
AUUGAACGCUGGCGGCAGGCCUAACACAUGCAAGUCGAGCGGUAGAGAGGUGCUUGCAUCUCUUGAGAGCGUCGGACGGGUGAGUAAUGCCUAGGAAUCUGCCUAGUGGUGGGGGAUAACGUUCGGAAACGGACGCUAAUACCGCAUACGUCCUACGGGAGAAAGCGGGGGAUCUUCGGACCUCGCGCCAUUAGAUGAGCCUAGGUCGGAUUAGCUAGUUGGUGAGGUAAUGGCUCACCAAGGCGACGAUCCGUAACUGGUCUGAGAGGAUGAUCAGUCACACUGGAACUGAGACACGGUCCAGACUCCUACGGGAGGCAGCAGUGGGGAAUAUUGGACAAUGGGCGAAAGCCUGAUCCAGCCAUGCCGCGUGUG